rnacentral:misc_RNA from 1 species
UAACACUCGCCAAAACUCUCCCUAGGGAGUGUCUAAGCGGACCUGGCUUUCCCGACUCCAUUCAGUUGGAGUCGGGUUUGCUGAAGAACAGAGGUUAACGCAUGGACCCGACUAUGGGCCUCAACUGGGUAGGCAAUUCGUUGCUAAUGCUUUAGUUGGUGGCUUAGGGACUGUGCAAUGUUGGCCCUAACCAGGAACCGAGCUUGCUCGGAUUAACCCCAUUU